rnacentral:misc_RNA from 1 species
AUUGUUAUAUCAAAUAUCGCUGUUCUUCGAAAAAGAACAGUUACUGUGACGUCAUAUUUUGCUUGGAACGUUUGGUGUGUAUUAUUGCACCGCAGUGUAGAAAGUUCAGUUGAACGGAACGAAUCAACUAUUAUCUUGUCUGUUACUGUGGGAAUGCGAAUUUUUUCGUCAUCCCGAAGAAAUAAUACAAAGCGGGCAGCAUGGUUAGGCCUUAGUACAAUCUGUUCGUUGAAUCUGUGGUUAGACCCUUUGUUUAGUUCUUAACUGUUUGCAUGUGAGUAAACAUUGUGUUUUCUUUUCUGCGAUACUACAUGUUUGAUCAUGUCCUGGC